GAGUCAAAUAGUGUAACCAGAGAGUAUAUACGAGAGAAAAGAAAAAAAAAACCUUGCCGAGGAAGAGUAAAGCCAUUAAUGGAAGUUUUAUCUCUCGACGCCUGAGAUCUUCUGCAGUUCCCUGCACCUCUACUGUUAUGAUCAUUGCAGUACAUUAACGACGCUUAAAUGCUUAUAUAAUCGGUGGUGUAUUCUUUUUGGACAAUCACCAAGCUGAAGCUGACUGAUCAUGCAAUGGUUUCGAGUUACGACAAAGAAGUAGUUUGACGGAGCAACAUUGUAUUGGGUGAAGUGGAAAAGGUUGAGACAAAUGAGGAAACCAAUGAUAUUCCCACAAUGGAGAUGGCCUGGUAUGCAUGUAGGGCCUACCGGCUUACGAGCGCUGUCUGAUGGCAGAAAGAGUUAAGGCGUUGAAUGCGACAAUGCAUGUUUCAGGAAUCACGUGCCGCAUGGGGAUAGAGUAAGGUUUGAAAAACCCUGUAAAGUAAGGCCUCGUAAAUGUUUUCGGUUAAAAGUUAUCAGAUAAUGCCAACAGUUUACUUUGAUUCAAUGAUUAAACUGGAUAUGAUCAUCAUUAUAUAUUAUGAAGUGACUAUAAUCUAAUUAGUGACUGCACUCAAUGUUUGAGUCUCUGAGGAAUAUAGCCAUUACAACAAAAAAUCUCAAUGUAGUUAGUUUCUUAGCAGCAUUGUGAAUUAGACCCUGAAGUUUGAGAUUAGCCCUUCCGCUUUUAUACUUUCCUGAAUCACUAACAAUUUCAGAUAAAGCCAAACGGAACAGUUUAAUGCACAAUUCCGUUAGCUUUUGGAUCUCAAUUAAAGUGCCAAAUUUGUUCGGCCGAACUACUAGUGGCACCACUUGAUUGAAAUUUGUUUCUAACCGCCUCUUCUGUAAUUAAUACUUUUGAUGAAUUUGUGGU